UCCCAUGCCAAUAAGCCACUUGAAUUGAAUUGUGAUGGUGUGGUUUGUGAGAGAGAGAGAGAGAAAGAGAGAGAGAGAAAGGGAGAGAGAGAGAGAGAUAGAAAGAGAGAGAGAGAGAGAGAGUGAGCAAGUAAGAAAGGAAGAGAGCAAGAGAGCAAGGACGUCCCCAUUCAUGCACUGUGGGGUGCUGUGUCGUUUUGCAAUGUGCCCCUGCCGUGAAUAUUUCUGUCUCGGUCUUGGUUUGGUAUUUUGAUGUAUUAUUGGCUAUGGAGACAUUCUGCGUUGGUGUUCUUCCUGAACCAAGUAUUGUCUAGGAAUAUAUAUAUAUAUGCAAUACAGCCUGUGAUAAGAGCUUGACCAGUGCCGACUCAAAUCAGGGAGGAGAGCCGUUGUCUCUCUCGGGCUGACAGUGCUGGAAAGACUGCACAACUGUGUGAAUUAAUUAAGACUGAAUCGAAAGACUGUGCCCGUGCUGUGCUGCCAUGACGACCAUGGCCCCUCCCCUCAUGUUUCUCCUCCUGCUCCUUCAAUUGGCUCACAGCUCUUUCCCAGAGGAGCCCGGUCCUCUAAGCUAUGCUCCCUUAGAGGUGGUGAGGAGGUAUCCUGUGUUUGUGGGUAGAGCUCAUCGUUCCUCACAGAGACAGGAGCUGCACAUUCACACAGUGCUCCAGGUGAACCGCACACUCUACAUAGGAGCCAGAGAUGAUCUAUAUAGAGUGGAGCUGGACAAUAUGUCAGGGGACGAAAUAUUCUACAGCAAGGUGCGACACACACACACACACACACACACACGCUAACUGUAUAACCGCACUGGUAUCACAUACACCUGAUUAAAUCAUACCCCAGUGUGAUAACCCUCCGGUCAUGUCAUUUUGUGUUCUUCUGCUAGAAGCGGACGUGGGAAUCCAAUAAGAAUGACAUUCGAGUCUGUAGGAUGAAGGGAAAACAUGAGGUUAGUUCCCGUCCCUGUGUCAGCCGACAUGUGUCAGCCUACACACACCCAACACUCCCAACA
rnacentral:lncRNA from 1 species